UACGAAGGGGGCUAGCGUUGUUCGGAUUUACUGGGCGUAAAGCGCACGUAGGCGGACUAUUAAGUCAGGGGUGAAAUCCCGGGGCUCAACCCCGGAACUGCCUUUGAUACUGGUAGUCUUGAGUUCGAGAGAGGUGAGUGGAAUUCCGAGUGUAGAGGUGAAAAUUCGUAGAUAUUCGGAGGAACACCAGUGGCGAAGGCGGCUCACUGGUCCGGUUCUGACGCUGAGGCGCGAAAGCGUGGGGAGCAAACAGG
rnacentral:rRNA from 1 species